rnacentral:rRNA from 1 species
UUUGUGGUCAAGCGAAGGAAGGCAUGUGGGGGAUGCCUGGGCACACGGAGGCGAGGAAGGCCGUGGUAAGCUGCGAGAAGCUCGGGGGAGUGGCACACACGCGGUGAUCCCGAGAUGGCCGAAUGGGGCAACCCGGCUGGCGGCGACGCCAGUCAUCACUUCUUCGGAAGUGAAGCGAACCCAGGGAACUGAAACAUCUCAGUACCUGGAGGAAGAGAAAUCAACCGAGAUGUCCGGAGUAGCGGCGAGCGAAACGGACCCAAGCCCAAACCGUGCUCCUUGUGGGUGCGGGGUUGUAGGACCUGCGGACGCGGCACAGCAGGCUACGUGAACUCCCCUGGAACGGGGGGCCAGAGACGGUGAGAGCCCGGUAGCGGAAAGCGAGCCUGUGUCGUAGCAGUGUUCCUGAGUAGCGCCCGGAACGAGAAACCGGGCGCGAAGCUGGGGGGACCACCCUCCAAGGCUAAAGACUCCCGUGUGACCGAUAGUGGACGAGUACCGUGAGGGACAGGUGAAAAGCACCCCAGUGCGGGGAGUGAAAGAGGACCUGAAACCACAUGCCUACAAGCGGUAGGAGGCUGGCGGCGGGCAACCGUCGCACGGCUGACUGCGUGCCUUUUGCAUUAUGAUCCGGCGAGUUGCUACUCCCGUGCGAGGCUAAGCCGGUUGCCGGCGGAGCCUGAGCGAAAGCGAGUCCUGUAACGAGGGCGACUGAAGUACGGGGGUGCAGACCCGAAGCCAGGGCGAUCUACCCAUGAGCAGGGUGAAGCUGGGGUAACACCCAGUGGAGGCCCGAACCGGUGUGGGUUGAAAACCGCUCGGAUGACUUGUGGGUAGGGGUGAAAGGCCAAUCAAGCCUGGAGAUAGCUGGUUCUCCCCGAAAUCUAUUGAGGUAG